GUCCCCAUAGCUCAACUGGAUAGAGCACUCGCCUUCUAAGCGAGGGGUUGUGAGUUCGAGUCUCGCUGGGGGCGCCA
rnacentral:tRNA from 1 species